UCCAUUUGUGAAUGAAGUCUGCCCGAGUACAGCCAAAACAAAAUGCCAGACCGCUCUAGUCAGACCACUGAAAUAAAAGGUACACACACUCCUUCCUCUGAGUAAAUACUGAACCAAAUGGCCCAGAACGGUGGCAAGGGGCCUCAUGCUGCUGCAGGUGCUGUCUUCCAGAUAAGAUGUAAAACUGCAGACCCUGACAUACUUGGAGUACUCCAUGCAGGGCAGCAUUUCUCUCAUCAAAAGGCAUGGCAGGACUGAGCGAGCACAGCAUGCACUUUCUAGAACUGCCUCCAGUACUUUCCUGCAAGGUGUAUAAGCCAAAGUGGAAAAAGUAAGAGUUUAUAUUAGGAAAAGCCAAUUAGACUGCAUUUUAGAUGCUACUAUAUGGAG